rnacentral:rRNA from 1 species
ACGCUCGACACCUACGGGGGCAGCAGUGGGGAAUAUUGCACAAUGGGGGAAACCCUGAUGCAGCAACGCCGCGUGAAGGAAGACGGUUUUCGGAUUGUAAACUUCUGUUCUUAGUGAAGAUAGUGACGGUAGCUAAGGAGCAAGCCACGGCUAACUACGUGCCCGCAGCCGCCGGUAAGUACUGAGCGGGCGUGGCAAGGACG